UCAGGGGUAAAUUUGACAAAUCCUCCUCCUGCCUUUAUGAUCUAGUUGUUGAAACUCUCAAGUGUAAGAGCAACCGCUAGGAUAAUCAACCGUCGUCAUCGGUGAUUUAUUCUCAUUCGUUCCAGUCUCUACCCUUGAAUUGAAUCCACACACACAUGAGAGAGAGAAGGGAUCCAGAGGAGACGAUGACAAUGAUUUAACGGCGGUUGAGGAUCAAAUGGUGGCGACGAUGGUUUCAAGGCUGUGGUCGUUUUGGGUUUGUGUUUUAGAACAGGGGAAUUGAUUAUCUUUUUAUGUGUGUGUAAAUAUUCUAUAGUAUUUCUUUGCAGACCAUUGAAAUCAAGUACAAAUUAGUGAUCCAAACCACGACUACAGAUCGAAAAAUCAAGCCAAGACGGAAUCAGAGGGAACAGGAUAGAAGGAUGUGCUAGCAUUGGGUUAAAUUUAUUUAUGAUGGUGGGGCUAGAGGAAUUAAAAAAACUCAUACCGCUACUUGAUGCAGAGAAGGGGUUUUUUCGGGAUCGACAUCGGAUCCUUUUGAUUCUCACAUGCUAUAGAAGUCAUAUGCUCUCAGCCGUUAUCCCAAAAACGACACCUUAAACAGUUGUAUCGUGCGCUUUUCAGUUCGUACCUUGAGCAUGCCAAUGUAAACUCAAAUAUCUGGUGAUCAUGGACAGUUGCUUCUUGCAUAUUAGAGUACACCUCGAAGCGAAUGGGGUGUUCAUGUUUGGACUAAGUGACUGACAAUGCUUACAGUGAAACCAGCAUCUGGUUCUGUGCAAAAGAUCCAGAUUUUGACUCCUAAUAUUGGAGUUGUUUACAGUGGGAUAGGGCCAGAUUCGCGUGUUCUGGAAGAGCAGAAAGCAGGCAGAGCAGUACAAUCUACUACAAAGUACCCCUCACCCUUAUUGUUUUCAAAUGGUCGAAACGGUUCGCGUCAAAACGAUUCGACUCGAUUCGAAACGGUACGGUUCGAAAUGGUAUGGGUCAAAACGGUUCAAGAAGGUGGCCAAGCAUUAGCAGCACACUCAUCCGAAGCUGUUGGGAUGAAAGGUGAUGAAAGGUGUCACUAAAGUAAUGUCAGCAAUGAAUAAGGUUGGUGGAAAACAUUAUGUUGAAGCUUGUCUAUCAAGAUCCGAGGCCAUCAGUUACUAUUCGUCUUCUCGUUGGCAUAUCUCUGGUCACCUACCAUUGGAGUGUUUAUAUGCUUAAAAUGCUGUAGUGUACACAGAAGUCUAGGUCCAAAUGUUUCAAAGCAACAAUUGAUGAAUGGGCUGAAGAAGAAAUGAACGCCAUGGUUGAAGUUAGAGGAAAUAGUUCUGCAAAUUCAAUUUACGAGGCCCAUGUUCCUAAAGGAGUUAAACCUGGCCCAGACGCUAGCCUUGAGCACCGUACUAAGUUUAUCAGGUCCAAGUAUGAGUUUCAAGAGUUCUUAAAUACUGGUUUGAAGAUAUCAAAUGGUGCACCUGCUCGUGUAUGUUCAUGAUUUGUACUAAUAUUAUAUUUUGAGUUAUGAAAAUGUUAAUCAGCUUGUCUUCCAAUCCUAGGAACUUUUAGCUUUUUUUUUUUUUUUUUUUUACUUUUGGUCUCGAUAAAUUAUAAGGCUAAACGAACAAGAAUAGUGUGUUUAAUACAUUUGUAACCUUUUUUAGGGUUGAA